rnacentral:lncRNA from 1 species
CUAUCAUGGGCAGACACUAGACCUCACCAUGAUUCAAAUCCAUUCAGUCAUGUAUUCACUCCUUCAUCCAACACACAUUUUAAUGGCCCCCUGCCAUGUGUCAGCAUAGGGCCAGGUGCUAGAGACACACCAAAUGUGUGUCCCAACCCCUACUGUUGAGGAGAUUAUAGGUUAGUAAGAAAGUUAAGGUAUAUGAUGUAAACAGUGACAGUAAAAAAAACAUAAAAAAGUAAUGUGUGAUAAGGAGAGUGCAAGUAAAAUCCUAGAUACGAGGAAGAUAAUUUGGGGAAGAGUAGUUGUUUCUUAAUAGGCAAUAUCGUGCAACGGCUGAGAGUACAGACUCUGGGACAACAGACCUGGGUUCAAAUCCUGUCUUUGCCACCUACUAACUAUGUAACUCCACAGAGAAAUGAAGAGAAUCUUGAGGUUCUUGUAAAGAUCAAGUGUCCAGCUGCUGUGGAUGUCGGCUGCUAUACUCAGGGAAAGUGGCAUAGAAAAUGGGUUUUCUGCAUGUGUGGAACAGGAUGUGAAACUGAUCCUAAGACCAUCUCUAUUCCCUGCUCCAGAAGUCUAAAAACCAUCACAAGAGAGACAGAGCCACCCUUCUGACCUGCUGGGAGUAGAGAACACCUGGCCCACAUGGCUCUGGCAGUUCAAGCACAUGAAGCGUCUUUUCAGCUGUGCCUUUGCUGAAUGACAGACUUGUCACCCCUGGCCACAAGCUAUGAGAUGAACUUAACUGACCUUCCCUCCCUCCCCAAGGAAGAGAGUUAAAACCCAGUGACACAGUGACCUAUCACCCUUGUUGGACAGGAUCUUCUCAGACCCAGACUCCGCCUUCCUGUUCCUGAUCCUGCAGCACAGAGUCUAAGCUGCCACACAAGGUAUCAGGAGGAUGGAUGGUCUGUACUGCAAUAACAGAAAACACAGCUCAGACUGGCUUAAGCAAUAAAAAGAAUCUACUGGACCAUGAGGAUAAAACAGUUCGCCAUGGGUGGGCAAAAGCCCACCCAGGGUCCGAUCAAUUUCCUCUGAGUUUUUUGUUUUUUAAGAUUUUAUUUAUUUAUUCAUGAGAGACAUAGAGAGAGGCAGAGACACAGAUGAGAGAGAAGCAGGCUCCCUGUGGGGAGCCUGAUGCAGGACUCAAUUCCAGGGUCUCAGGAUCACGCCCUGAGCUGAAGGCAGAUGCUCAACCACUGAGCCACCCAGGCGUCCCUCCUAUGAGUUUUU